rnacentral:rRNA from 1 species
CAGCCGCCGCGGUAAUACGAAGGGGGCUAGCGUUGCUCGGAAUCACUGGGCGUAAAGGGUGCGUAGGCGGGUCUUUAAGUCAGGGGUGAAAUCCUGGAGCUCAACUCCAGAACUGCCUUUGAUACUGAAGAUCUUGAGUUCGGGAGAGGUGAGUGGAACUGCGAGUGUAGAGGUGAAAUUCGUAGAUAUUCGCAAGAACACCAGUGGCGAAGGCGGCUCACUGGCCCGAUACUGACGCUGAGGCACGAAAGCGUGGGGAGCAAACAGGAUUAGAUACCCGCGUAGUCCCUGUCUCUUAUAC